AUGAUCCAAAUGUUCCACUCACUGAGUGUGGGAAGACACAGAGCAGCAGGAGGGAAAGAACAACAGAAACUCAGUGAAGGCCAUUGGGAACCUCUGCCAAGAAGCAUUUUGAAGAGGUGGAUUCCUCCUGGUUUGGCAGCCAAGAAAAGAUUUAUUUCAGUGUUUACACCUGCUGGAAAAUUGGGAAUUCCAGAAAUCUCACAGUGUCCAGACCAGUUUUCUUUACCAAUCUGGGAUGCAGCACCCUCUUUUGAAAAACAGAGAUCAGUUCUUAGACUUUGUACAUUUAUACUAGUUUUACUUCAUUGGUACCAGGGUGACUUGAAUUCUUGAAAAGGAUGCAGUUUCCUAGAAACUUUUAGAAGAAAAGCAUUAAAAUAAAAGUUGACCAUUGAAUGGCUGGGAUUUUCUG
rnacentral:lncRNA from 1 species